rnacentral:rRNA from 1 species
UCUGUGCCCGAUCUCGUCUGAUUUCGGAAGCUAAGCAGGGUUGAGCCUGGUAAGUACUUGGAUGGGAGACUGCCUGGGAAUACCAGGU